AUUGCUUCUCGGCCUUUUGGCUAAGAUCAAGUGUAGUAUCUGUUCUUAUCAGUUUAAUACCUUUUUAUUCAGCCUUUUUAUUAUUUUGGUCAUAAAGAGACAUGAAUAAAC
ensembl:snRNA U2 U2 spliceosomal RNA